UCUCAGAUAGCUUAACCGGUAGAGCCUUUGUUGUGUAACCAAAUGAUCCGGGUUCAAGUCUCGCUCUGUCCGAA
rnacentral:tRNA from 1 species